UACGGAGGAUCCGAGCGUUAUCCGGAUUUAUUGGGUUUAAAGGGAGCGUAGGCGGACGCUUAAGUCAGUUGUGAAAGUUUGCGGCUCAACCGUAAAAUUGCAGUUGAUACUGGGUGUCUUGAGUACAGUAGAGGCAGGCGGAAUUCGUGGUGUAGCGGUGAAAUGCUUAGAUAUCACGAAGAACUCCGAUUGCGAAGGCAGCUUGCUGGACUGUAACUGACGCUGAUGCUCGAAAGUGUGGGUAUCAAACAGGAUUAGAUACCCUUGUAGUGCUGACUGACU
rnacentral:rRNA from 1 species